GGGCUGGGUUCAACUCCGCUGAUGGUAGAACACACAACAGUUGUGUAGCAUCAUCAACACAAAGAAAGGGGUCAUAGAAGUUCUUCAGAGCAUCUUCGAGGGCAUGCAGUGCCAAGUCAGCAUUGGUCUUCUCACAGUUGUAUCCCAUCAAACCAAUCCUCAUCACCUAAUAAAAAGACAGGAAUGAAGAGUUUGAGACCUAAGUCCUCCAGUCCUCUGUAAAGUCCCGCCCUUAUAAGAUACGAGGAAAGGAUGCCAGGAGAAAAUGUGAAGAGAGAGGAAUCGAGGGAACAUGUUUUAAAGACAUAAGAUAUCCUUUUCUCUGUUCCUUCAUUUGAAGCAUCCAAUCACCUACUAAUGUCCU